rnacentral:rRNA from 1 species
GACGAACGCUGGCGGCGUGCCUAAUACAUGCAAGUAGGACGCAGUUGCGAACGGGUGAGUAACGCGUAGGUAACUACCUAUUAGAGGGGGAUAACUAUUGGAAACGAUAGCUAAUACCGCAUACUAGUAGAUGGACCUGCGUUGUAUUAGCUAGUAGGUAGGGUAAUGGCCUACCUAGGCAACGAUACAUAGCCGACCUGAGCGGGGGGUCGGCCACACCGGGACUGGGACACGGGCCAGACUCCGACGGGGGGGAGCAGUAGGGGAUCUUCGGCAAUGGGGGGAAUCCUGGACGAGCAACGCCGGGGUGGUGAAGAAGGUUUUCGGAUCGUAAAGCUCUGUUGUUAAGGAAGCGGUACUUAACCAGAAAGGGACGGCUAACUACGUGCCAGCAGCCGCGGUAAUAC